UGACGUCGGUUCCUCCUCCUGACUGCAGCCAAUCAGGAGGAUUUUACGAGGUCACAGAGAACUUUGAGUCCGUUUCACCCAGCGAGCUUCAGGCUGCGGCCGACUCACAGCUUCCUGGUUUUGCGGGACUCGACAAAA